CCUACGGGAGGCAGCAGUGGGGGAUAUUGCACAAUGGGGGGAACCCUGAUGCAGCGACGCCGCGUGGGUGAAGAAGCGCCUCGGCGCGUAAAGCCCUGUCAGCAGGGAAGAAAAUGACGGUACCUGAAGAAGAAGCCCCGGCUAACUACGUGCCAGCAGCCGCGGUAAUACGUAGGGGGCAAGCGUUAUCCGGAUUUACUGGGUGUAAAGGGGGCGCAGACGGGGAUGCAAGCCAGGAGGGAAAGCUCGGGGCCCAACCCCGGGACUGCGCUUGGAACUGCGUGGCUGGAGUGCAGGAGGGGCAGGCGGAAUGCCUGGUGUAGCGGUGAAAUGCGUAGAUAUCAGGAGGAACACCGGUGGCGAAGGCAGCCUGCUGGACUGCAACUGACGUUGAGGCCCGAAAGCGUGGGUAGCGAACAGGAUUAGAUACCCGUGUAGUC
rnacentral:rRNA from 1 species